rnacentral:rRNA from 1 species
AUUGAACGCUGGCGGCAGGCCUAACACAUGCAAGUCGAACGAGUGGCGGACGGGUGAGUAAUGUCGGGGAAACUGCCUGAUGGAGGGGGAUAACUACUGGAAAAGGUAGAUAAUACCGCAUACCAGCAGAUGGGCCCAGAUGGGAUUAGCUUGUCGGUGGGGAAACGGCUCACCAAGGCGACGAUCCCUAGCUGGCCUGAGAGGAUGACCAGCCACACUGGAACUGAGACACGGCCCAGACUCCUACGGGAGGAAGCAGUGGGGAAUCUUGCACAAUGGGCGCAAGCCUGAUGCAGCCACGCCGCGUGUAUGAAGAAGGCCUUCGGGUUGUAAAGUACUUUCGUCGGGGAGGCGUUAUCCGCAGAGGAAGCCCCGGCUAACUCCGUGCCAGCAGCCGCGGUAAUAC